AAGUCGUAACAAGGUUUCCGUAGGUGAACCUGCGGAAGGAUCAUUAACACGUUUCCAACGUAUAUCCAAAUCAACUACAACCAACCGGUCACCAAUUCUCCUCAGUCACUAGCAGCUAUUCAGGAGGGGUCAAGUAAAAUGAACGUGGAGCGAAAGCACCUCGAACAUACCCCAAGUGAGUGCGUCGGAUGCGUCAAACCAUCUGUCAAAGCUGGAUAGCACUGGGCUAUUCCUUUCCAUCUUCUUGAUUUUACUUGUGAGUUGAUGGGGAGGUCACUACAACUACUUUCACCCUAUAAAUAAACCAUUUGACUAAUGUCUGUUCGACUUGGAGCAAUCUAAGUCUGAGCUGAUUUAUCUAAACUAAGCACAACUCUUAGCAAUGGAUAUCUUGGUUCUC
rnacentral:misc_RNA from 1 species